UACACACCUUAUUACCUCAUUCAGCCCAUUAUUCUUAAAUAAGCUUACUAAUAAAUCCACCUUCAGUAAAAUUUUAAUUUUAAACAUCCGUUUUCUUAAAAAAAUUGUAGCUCAUCUCUACCUUUAUAUAAA
rnacentral:rRNA from 1 species